rnacentral:rRNA from 1 species
GAUGAACGCUGGCGGCGUGCUUAACACAUGCAAGUCGAACGGAAAGGCUCCUGCUUGCAGGGGUACUCGAGUGGCGAACGGGUGAGUAACACGUGGGUGAUCUGCCCUGCACUUCGGGAUAAGCCUGGGAAACUGGGUCUAAUACCGGAUAGGACGAUGUUUUGGAUGCCAUUGUGGAAAGUUUUUUCGGUGUGGGAUGAGCUCGCGGCCUAUCAGCUUGUUGGUGGGGUAAUGGCCUACCAAGGCGUCGACGGGUAGCCGGCCUGAGAGGGUGUACGGCCACAUUGGGACUGAGAUACGGCCCAGACUCCUACGGGAGGCAGCAGUGGGGAAUAUUGCACAAUGGGCGCAAGCCGGAUGCAGCGACGCCGCGUGGGGGAUGACGGCCUUCGGGUUGUAAACUCCUUUCGCUAGGGACGAAGCGCAAGUGACGGUACCUGGAGAAGAAGCACCGGCUAACUACGUG